rnacentral:lncRNA from 1 species
UUCUACCUGAGUUUGCCAUAAAGUGCCUGCCCUCUAGCCUCUACUUUUCCAGUUGCGGCUUAUUGCAUCACAGUAAUUGCUGUACGAAGGUCAGAAUCGCUACCUAUUGUCCAAAGCAGUCGUAAGAAGAGGUCCCAAUCCCCCACUCUUUCCGCCCUAAUGGAGGUCUCCAGUUUAGGUGCUGGAAGCCCAGGAAGCACACAUCAAGGCUCCCUUGCCAGCAGGGUGCUGCCAAUAAAAGGUAGUCACGUGGAAUUUGGAAUGUGGAAAGGAGGUAGAAGUCAUCCUUUCCUCCCCUGUAGCAGCAGGCGUGCAGGCUCUGGUGGUCAGCUGGACUCCAUACUCCCCCACCAGUCACCAGCCUGGGGACCGUGGGGCUGCAAGGACCUCAGCAGCGGUGUCCCAAGUUUCCUGACUUCUUCCAUCCUCUGGAAAUCAGCUGUGGUAAAGUAGCCUGAAAGCCAGUGGUGCAACCCCCUCCCCACAACCUUCACCACCUCUAGCCCCUCCAAUGAAAAGCACUAAUUGCCUAUAUACAACCCCUUUUUGUUUGAAAUAUCUAGAGUAAUUUCUGUUUUCCUGUCUGGGGUAGUGCAACAUAAGAAGAAAUAUACAUUUG